rnacentral:rRNA from 1 species
GACGAACGCUGGCGGCGUGCUUAACACAUGCAAGUCGAACGAUGAACCACUUCGGUGGGGAUUAGUGGCGAACGGGUGAGUAACACGUGGGCAAUCUGCCCUUCACUCUGGGACAAGCCCUGGAAACGGGGUCUAAUACCGGAUAAUACUUCUGCUCUCAUGGGCGGGGGUUGAAAGCUCCGGCGGUGAAGGAUGAGCCCGCGGCCUAUCAGCUUGUUGGUGAGGUAAUGGCNCACCAAGGCGACGACGGGUAGCCGGCCUGAGAGGGCGACCGGCCACACUGGGACUGAGACACGGCCCAGACUCCUACGGGAGGCAGCAGUGGGGAAUAUUGCACAAUGGGCGAAAGCCUGAUGCAGCGACGCCGCGUGAGGGAUGACGGCCUCGGUU